GAUGAACGCUAGCGGCAGGCCUAAUACAUGCAAGCCGAACGGCAAGAACUUUAGCAAUAGAGUUCCUAGAGUGGCGUAAGGGUGCGUAACACGUAUGCAAUCUGCCCUCAACAGGAGGAUAGCUCCCCGAAAGGGGAAUUAAGACUCCAUAAGAUCAUUUUAUGGCAUCAUGAGAUGAUUAAACUACCAGGGGUUGAGGAUGAGCAUGCGCAUGAUUAGUUAGUUGGCGGGGUAACG
rnacentral:rRNA from 1 species